AGUGAACGCUGGCGGUAGGCCUAACACAUGCAAGUCGAACGGCAGCACAGUAAGAGCUUGCUCUUACGGGUGGCGAGUGGCGGACGGGUGAGGAAUACAUCGGAAUCUACUUUUUCGUGGGGGAUAACGUAGGGAAACUUACGCUAAUACCGCAUACGACCUACGGGUGAAAGCAGGGGAUCAUCGGACCUUGCGCGAUUGAAUGAGCCGAUGUCGGAUUAGCUAGUUGGCGGGGUAAAGGCCCACCAAGGCGACGAUCCGUAGCUGGUCUGAGAGGAUGAUCAGCCACACUGGAACUGAGACACGGUCCAGACUCCUACGGGAGGCAGCAGUGGGGAAUAUUGGGCAAUGGGCGCAAGCCUGAUCCAGCCAUACCGCGUGAGUGAAGAAGGCCUUCGGGUUGUAAAGCCCUUUUGUUGGGAAAGAAAAGCAGCAGGUUAAUACCCCGCUGUUCUGACGGUACCCAAAGAAUAAGCACCGGCUAACUUCGUG
rnacentral:rRNA from 1 species